rnacentral:lncRNA from 1 species
ACUUCAUCUUCUUCCUUAAUUCAUCUUCUUCGUGAUUUCUUUCAUGAUGUCUAUAAAACCGAGACCAUCAUCAUUGUUCUACUCCCUCACACCAUCACAAUACCUUUUCGCGUAACCUGCACAUCGCCGGAGUUGGAGGUCUCGCCGGAACCGGAAUUUCAUGACGGAGUUUCGUUCCUCUUCAUUUUUGACCCAAGUAUGGAAGAUCAAGUCAGGGCAUUUCUAGAGGCCCAUAAUUUAGCUUCCAAUGGUGAUUUAUGAAAAAAGACCAAAACUUUGGCUACGUGUCUCCGUUUUAGACGUUCGACCAGUCAAAUCGAAGCUUGAAACGAGGAGCACGUCGUGGCAUCAGAGGGACCUUGCCUGAGUUUCAGCUCAAAAAACGCAUUCUAGUGGAAUUACAGGCAAUUUUGUGUUUUUCAUGUUUUGUGUACUUUGUUUUUGGGGUUGUAUUUGACCCAUGGCUUUUUAUUGGCCUGUUUCAAAUUUAUGUUCUUAUUUAUGUUCUUCUCAUGUAAUUCGGAUGGUCAUUCAUCAGUUUUGCAAUAAACCAUUUUAC